rnacentral:snRNA from 1 species
AUGCUUGCUUUGGCAGCACAUAUAGUAAAACUGGAAUGAUACAGAGAAGAUUAGCAUGGCCCCUGUGCAAGGAUGACAUGCAAAUUCCUGAAGCAUUCCAUAUUUUU